GAGCCUGUAGCUCAGCUGGUAGAGCACUUGACUUUUAAUCAAGGUGUCCCGGGUUCGAAUCCCGGCAGGCUCA
rfam:Orientia tsutsugamushi Boryong complete genome